rnacentral:rRNA from 2 species
UGUGGUUACAAUAGCAGAGAGGAUACACCUGUUCCCAUUCCGAACACAGAAGUUAAGCUCUCUAGCGCUGAUGGUAC